rnacentral:rRNA from 1 species
CUCGAGUGGCGAACGGGUGAGUAACACGUGAGUAACCUGCCCUUGUACGUUUGGGAUAACUUCAAGGAAACGUGGGGCUAAUACCGGAUAGGAGCUCCUGCUGCAUGGUGGGGGUUGGAAAGUUUCGGCGGUUGGGGAUGGACUCGCGGCUUAUCAGCUUGUUGGUGGGGUAGUGGCUUACCAAGGCUUUGACGGGUAGCCGGCCUGAGAGGGUGACCGGCCACAUUGGGACUGAGAUACGGCCCAG